rnacentral:lncRNA from 1 species
AUUAGGACAAAUACCUAAUGCAUGUGGGGCUUAAAACCUAAAUGACAGGUUGAUGGGUGCAGCAAGCCACCAUGGCACAUGCAUACCUAUGUAAGAAACCUGCAUGUUCUGCACAUGUAUCCCAGUACUUAAAGUAUAAUAGCAAAAAAAAAAAAAAAAAAAGAUUACAGUAACUGCUCAAAAAACUUAAAAAAAGAAAAUUACUUAAGUUUUAAUGUAUGAAGUAUGAUUAUGACAUCCUAAUUUUAAAAAAUGAUGAGAGGAAUAUUUGACAAGUCACAGUUCAUAGCAAUCCAUUCUUGUCAGCAAAUGCCAUCUUUUGAUAUUGGGGAGAAAACUACGAUCAUCAAUCUGGUGUUUGUACAUCUAGUCCAUGUUUUAUCCUACCUACAAAUAUAUAUCCUAAAAGCAGAACAUAAUUAUUUUAUUUAUUUAUUUAACUUUUAUUUUAGGUUUGGGGGUACAUGUGAAGGCUUGUUACAUAGGCAAACAUGUGCCAGGGGUUUGUUGUACAGAUUAUUUCAUCACGCAGGUAUUAAGUCCAGUACCCAAUAGUUAUCUUUUCUGCUCCUCUUCUUCCUCCCAUCCUCUACCCUCAAGUAGGCCCCAGUGUCUAUUGUUUCUUUCUUUGUGUUCAUAAGUUCUUAUCAUUUAGCUCUCAUUUAUAAGUGAGAACAUGUGAUAUUUGGUUUCCUGUUCCUGCAUUAGUUUGCUAAGGAAAAUAGCCUCCAGCUCCAUCCAUUUUCCCACAAAAGAUACGAUUUCGUUAUUUUUUAUGGUUGCAUAGUAUUCCAUGGAGUAUAUGUACCACAAUUUCUUUAUCCAGUCUAUCAUUGAUGGGUAUUUGGGUUGAUUCCGUGUUUUUACUAUUGAGAAUAGUGCAGCAAUAAACAUAGGCGUGCAUGUCUCUUUAUAAUAGAGUGAUUUAUAUUCCUUUGGGUAUAUACCCAGUAACAGGAUUGCUGGGUUUCAUGGUAGUUCUGCUUUUUGCUCUUUGAGGAAUUGCCACGCCGAUUUUCACGACGGUUGACCUAAUUUACUCUCCCACCAAAAGUGUAUAAACAGAUCGUAAUUAUUUUAAAUAGCACAUUUCAAACAGUUUUCUUGACAAUUUCAAAUUCUGGGGGUAUUGUCUUUUCACUUUGAUUAGAUCAUUGUUGUUUUUAUUUUGCAUUGUACUUGACAGGGAGCUUGUACUAAGAGGAGGACACCUGUCAACUCUGCUAUUAAAAUAAUUCAUUUGUGUCCAUAAUUAGUUUUAUCUUUAAUGCAUGGAUUCUUCCAAGAUAACGUCUUUGCCACUUGAAAUUUUGUGAACAUUAGUUUUCUUAAAAACAGAUAAUAUAAUCUGUAAAUCUACUAAAUCCUGCACAGAGAUUGUAAUUCAUCUCAAUACACCCAACACGAUCGUCACUGCUAACUGCAUUAUAGUAUGGAGUUUUGCUCCACACAGGUUGCUGCUAGCAUAGUCACGCAUCGCAUAACAGCAUUUCCGUCAGUGAUGAACCACAUAAAUAAUGGUGGUCUUAUGAAAUUAUAAUGGGGCUGAAAAUUCCUAUUGACAUUGUAGCUGUUGUGACAUCAGAGCACAUGCAACACUCACAUAUUUGUGCUAAUGCUGUUGUAAACAAACCUACUGUGCUGCCAAUCAUAUAAAAGUAUAGCAAACACAAAUACAUAUAGUAUAUAAUACUUGAUAUUGAUAGUAAACAAUGAUGCUACUGGUUUAUGUAUUUAUACUAUACUUCUUACUGUAGAGUGUAGUCCUUCUAUCUAAAAAAAAAAAAUGUUCAAUGCAAAACAGCCUCAGGCAGUUCCUUCAGAAGGUGUUUCAGAAGGCAUUGUUAUCAUAGGAGAUCAUAGGAGAUGACAGCUCCAUGCCUGUUAUUGCCCCUGAAACACCUUCCCGUGAAAGAGGAUGUGGAUGGAGAAGACAGUGAUAUUGAUGAUACUGAUCCCAGUGACACUGAUGAUUAGGCUGAGGCUAAUGUGUGUGUUUGGAUCUCAGUUUUUUCUUUCCUUUUUUUUUUGAGACAGAGUUUUGCUCUUGUUGCCCAGGCUGGAGUGCAAUAGUGCAAUCUCAGCUCACCAAAACCUCUGCCUCCUGGGUUCAGGGGAUUCUCCUGCCUCAGCCUCCCGAGUCGCUGGGAUUACAGGCAUGCACCACCAUGCCUGGCGAAUUGUGUAUUUUUAGUAGAGAUGGGGUUUCUCUAUGUUGGUCAGGCUGAUCUUGAACUCCCGACCUCAGGUGAUCCGUCCUCCUCAGCCUCCCAAAGUGUUGGGAUUAGAGGCGUGAGCCACUGCACCCAGCUGGAUCUUAGUUUUUAACAAAGAAGUUUAAAAAGUUAAAAAAAAUUAAUAGAAAAGGGCUUAUAAAUAAGGAUGUAAAGAAAAAAUAUUUUUGUACAGCUGCAGAAGGUCGAUGUGUUUGUGUUACAAGCUAAGUGAUAUUUUAAGAGUCAAAAGGUUCUUUAAAAGGUUUAUAAAGUAAAAAUGUUACAGUAAGCUAAAAUGAAUUUAUUAUUGAAGAAAGUAAAUUUAAAAAUUAAAUGUAGUAUAGCCUAAGUGUACAGUGUUUAUAGUCUACAGCAGUGUGGAGUAACAUCCUAGGCCUUCACAUUCACCCAUCGCUCCCUCACCAACUUACCGAGAGCAACUUCCAGUCCUGCAAGCUCCAUUUAUGGUAAGUGCUUAUCAAUAUACAGGCUUAUUAACUUUUAUGUGUUAUACCAUAUUUUUACUGUACUUCUUCUAUAUUUAGAUAUAUUUAGAUACAUAAAUACUUACCAUUGUGUUACAAUUGCCUAUAGUAUUCAGUACAGUAACAGUGCUAUAGAGGUUUGUAGCCUAGGUGUGUAGUCAGCUACACCACCUAGUUCUGUGUAAGUAAACUCUAUGAUGUUCACACAAUGAUGAAAUCGCCUAAGGCCGCAUUUCUCAGAAUGUAUCCCUGUAGUUAAGUGACAUAUGACCUUCUGGCAUGUGGGCCUAGUGAGGCUACCAGUGUUAAACUAUAAGUCAGAUAUUGUUACAAGCUAAUGUUCCUUAGGUUUUUAGAUAAAAAAUAAAUAGAAAAAGAAGCUGCAACUUCCCAUGCUUCCACGGAUUAUCCUGUGUACACCUUUUGAUACAUGCAUUUUCUGUUGUUACUUUGUAUACCUCUUUGAAUUCAUUACUUUGGAGAACUUACUUCAAAGAUGAUCCUUUAGCUUGAAAAAUAGUUCAGUAAGUUUGGGCAACAUGAGUUCUAGUGUCAUAAACAUGGAUAAACCAGAUUUCUUUUGAAACCUAAAGAGCUAGACCAAGCAGCAGCCAGGCAGAUCAAGAGUCUCUUCCUAUAAACUGUGACUAAAAUGACUGACACUCUGGAUUUUCUUUCAGUGUCACUGCAAGGAAGGAGAAGGAUAGUAACAGAAUGGAGGAAUCAGGCUGCAAUGGAAAAUUUCCGAACGAGGAGUUCUGUUGUUUUGCCUAUAGACAGAAAUUUAGAUGAUGCAUUGCGAAUUCUAUCUUGGAAGUUGCUUAUUGGAUCGUAAGCCCAUAGUUGCUUGAUAGUUUUUGUAUUCCAAUGAUUAUUCCUCCACAACAAACUCAGGCUAAAAAUGAAGAUGUUGACCAGAUGACUAACAUUGAAAAAUAAAUGCAAGCUUUUUAGUCUUCAUUUUAUCCUUCAAGUAAAUACAGUUGAAAUUCAAAGAGAGGUUUGGGAGUAGGAUGAGACAUGAAGCAAGCUAUGUAUGUGAAGAUGGUUAUAGAUGAACUUUUAUGAAGGCAAAAGAGAGAAUCCAGAAUUAGAGCUGCAUCUUCUAUGGAAGUGUCUUAUGCCAAGUGAAGCCUGAAAUUAUGUGAAGAAAUUUGGUUCACUCUUCUAAGAGUCCCACUGGCACCCUGGACUCCAAAUGAAUCAAUGAAUAUGGAAAUAAGUUGUUUUCUCCACGAUGACCAUAAAAAUGCACAACAGAAACAGCAUCACAUUUAUUCAAGCUCUGGGGAUUUACUGCCCUUAUGUGUAUGGGAAGCACUUGUGGAGACAGUUUCAAAAUGAAAAACAAAUGAUUCGCUGGCCUCUACCAAGAAAGAUAAGACUUUCAGUGACAUACUUCUGUGAUGCAGACACUCUGCACACACCAGCUCAGCAAUAUCAUGGAGGACAUCGAUGUUACCCUGACUCACAAAGAACCUUGUUCUAAGAUAAUGCAUUUCUGGUAGCAAGUCAUUAAGGAAUAAGAACAUUGCCUAAGAUUUUUUUGUAAAGGGGCCUAUUUAAGUAGAUCAUUUCAUGUAGGACUUUUCUAAGUGUACAUUGCCAAAUUCAAUAAUUCUUCAAUGGUAUUAUGUGGCUAGUUUGAUAGGAUCAUUAUAUCUGAGUGUUAUGAGGUCAUUUGAAGAAAAAUACUUCUAUCAAGGAAAAGUUCCAUCUAAUAUUUACCCGUUUACAAUCCAAAAUGUAAACUAAAAGAGAAUUCAUAAAUGUGUCACAUGACUACGAGUAUAUUUUGAGGAUAGAGAGUGGUUUUUGUCUUGUCAGAAUGUGACAGGCAAGGUCUUGGGUUGGGUUGAGUAUACAUGUCUUUGUGGCUAUGGGGACUUAUAAAUUAUCUAGGUUACACUGAGCUCUGCCUCCUCCAUGCCUGAUCAUUUAAAUGCAGUCAGACCCAAGAAACUGGAGUAAAAGUUGGGCUUGGGCAGGAGCUCUUGGCCUGUAUCUAUUCAGGCUGACCUCAGACUUGCUUAUUCAACCUCUGUCCCACAUUCCCAUCUUGAGCUAUUGACUUCAACCUCUAGCUACUUAAAACCCUUGUUCUUACCACUCAUUUUGAAUCUGGUUUCUGGCUUACUAGAGCAUUUGGACUCUUUUUGUGCCCCUUUCAUUUUGGGGCACCCUCAGUAUUUCAGGAAGCAUAUUUGUGCCAAUGGAUCCUCAAAUACAGAUUUCCACAGAACCACAUAACCCAGCAGUAGGUGUUCAUCUCCAGGUUGUAUGCAUUGAGAGCUGAGGUCCCCAGAGCAGCCACUGGGAGGCAGUGGAUGGCAGAGCAGCUGUGCUCUGAUCCCCAUGCUUAGGCAGUCAGGCACCACCCUCUGGGCAUACAGACUGACAUGUCCACCCCCUGCCUGUCUGCUUCUCACUGAGCAGCUGACUUAGCCAAUAAGGAGCCAUUGAGGGUAUGUUUUUACAAAUGGCAAUGUCUGGAGCUCUUUCUGUUGCAGGUGCUGCUCCUGCCAUCCAGUGAGUCAUGGUAAACUCAGUAGACUGUUCAGCCCCUCGAUGCAGAUAAAGCCACAUGUAGAAAUAUGGAGUUUAUAGUUCUCAGGAGAAUGUAAGAGAAAGACAGGCAUUCCUCUAUCCAUAUGUGUCUGUGGAAGUUGAGAGGGGAUGUUUCGUAGUAGGGAAUCCUGCUUUUCUGUAAUUGAAUGGUGUUUCAUGGCCUUCCUAACUUGCGGGACGUACGUAAAAGUCCUACCUAGUGAAAUGUGGCAGAUGCUGUGAUAUGUAUGGCUGAAUCAGCAGAUGGAGUGCAUGACACCUAAUUCCACUGCCUUGCACAAGAGUCAAAAUUAGGCUGAUGAUGCUGUAGGCCCAGCUCUGAGAAGGCCCCAGGGUGUUAUGUGUGAGAAACUGGCCACAGUAUCAGCUUUCUCACUCUCUCUCUCUUCUUUUUUCUUAAGAUAGAGUGUUUUGCUGUGUUUUCCAGGCUAACCUUGAACUCCUGGACUCAAGUGACCCUCCUGCCUCAGCUUCCCAUGUGGGAAGUAGCUCAUAUUGGAGGCCCACACCACUGCUCCCAGUUCAGUACCAUCUUUUGUUACUGAUAGACCUUUGAGUGAAGCCCAUUGUGUAACCAAGGAUCUGCUCAUCCUCCGUCAUUGCUGCAACAGAUCACAGACCAUCCACUCCAUGAUCAAGGGUGGGAGAGGAUCUCAUGUCAUUGACUACUGGGCCUCCCCUAUGGUCUUGGCAAAAUGGACACUGAGUAUCACCACUUUUCCUGUAUUGUGCUCCUACAUCCUCCUUGGAUCUGAGAUUUUGUGUCUUUUCUCUCCUGACCGCUGGAAAUAAUUCACCUCUAUUCUCAGGACCAUUACUGUUCUUGGGUGGCAGGGAUUCAAGGGGUUCCAUCUGACAGUUGGGGGAUCAACAUGAGGCCACUCUUGCCAACAGCGUUGCUCUGAUAUACCCAGGUCUCAGGAUGGGUUUCAGCCUUGUUCCUGGGUUCCAACACUCACCUCACAGUUGAUGGUUAUGGUGGUCAAGAGUCCAUCUUUGUGGUCAGAGAGAUCUCAGUUUAACUUUUACCUUUGCCACUACUAUUAGAGUGAGCCUUGGGUAAGGUAUUUAACCUCACUGAGCCUCAGUUUGUAAUCUGUCAAAUAGAUAUAAUCAUACUACUUCACCAAUUAUUGUGAAGAUUAUCAAGAUAAUGGAUAUCUAGUGCUUAGCACAGGGUUUAGUUGGAUACUAUUUUGAACACUGUAUGUUCAUUAAUUCACUAAGUCCUUCUAUCUCCAAGUGCUAAGUUGUAUUGUUGAUUUUAUUCUAUGUAUGAGAAAAUUGAGGCACAGAGUUUAAUUAACAUGUCCCCAAACCACUUAGGUAGGGACACUCUGGCUUUGGAGCCCAUGAUGUUAACCUCUCUGCUUACUGCUGAUCAAUAUGCAGUUCUCCUUUCACAAUCCAAAGCUGCAUUUACUUAGCAAAGUAGUGGCAAGGUCUUUUAUACUGUAAUCCCCAGGAUGAUGGUGUAAUUCUUCAGAGUAAUCCUUUCUUAGAAUUAAGUGCUAUCCACCUCCACACGUUGCUCACUAUAUGCUAUGUACUUUUUAAAUGGUGGCUUAAGCUUUUAAAAGCAUUUUUCUGCAGCACAAGAAUACAAGAUAUGAGUCAAAAGAACAACAUAGCUCCAGGAUGCUUGUGUCUAAUAAUCUAGAGUUCUUAGACUUUACGUUUGGCCUUAUUGUAACUUUUUCAAUUCAGUGAGCAACAACCAUCAAUUUUUCAUAAUAAUAUGUUCAAAUCAAUAGAAAUCAGAACUUUUUUUCAUGAAUGG